rnacentral:misc_RNA from 1 species
UUUCCGUAGGUGAACCUGCGGAAGGAUCAUUAUUGUAUAACCGAGGUGCGAGGGCUGUCGCUGACCCGAAAGGUCGUGCACGCCCGAGUGCCCUCACACACAUCCAUCUCACCCCUAUGUGCACCACCGCGCGGGUCCCCCUUUGGCUUGUUCGGAGGGGGGCUUACGUUUUCACACAAACUUUGUAUGCAGUGUAGAAUGUAUUUUUUGUUUUUGCGAUCACGCAAUCAAUACAACUCUCAACAACGGAUCUCUUGGCUCUC